rnacentral:rRNA from 1 species
AGUCAAGUAAUUAAGUGCAUGUGGUGGAUGCCUUGGCAGUCAGAGGCGAUGAAAGACGUGAUAGCCUGCGAAAAGCUCCGGGGAGGCGGCAAAUAUCCUUUGAUCCGGAGAUGUCUGAAUGGGGGAACCCACCUACUUUAAGGUAGGUAUUGCAACAUGAAUACAUAGUGUUGCAAGGCGAACGAGGGGAAGUGUGAAACAUCUCAGUACCCUUAGGAAAAGAAAUCAAUUGAGAUUCCCUCAGUAGCGGCGAGCGAACGGGGAUCAGCCCAUUAAGUUAUGUGUGUUUUAGUGGAACGCUCUGGGAAGUGCGAACGUAGAGGGUGAUAUUCCCGUACACGAAAGGGCACACAUAAUGAUGACGAGUAGGGCGAGGCACGUGAAACCUUGUCUGAAUAUGGGGGGACCAUCCUCCAAGGCUAAAUACUCCUGACUGACCGAUAGUGAACCAGUACCGUGAGGGAAAGGCGAAAAGAACCCCUGUGAGGGGAGUGAAAUAGAUCCUGAAACCGCAUGCAUACAAGCAGUGGGAGCACCUUCGUGGUGUGACUGCGUACCUUUUGUAUAAUGGGUCAGCGACUUAUAUUCAGUAGCGAGGUUAACCGUAUAGGGGAGCCGUAGAGAAAUCGAGUCUUAAUAGGGCGUUUAGUUGCUGGGUAUAGACCCGAAACCAGGCGAUCUAUCCAUGAGCAGGUUGAAGGUUGGGUAACACUAACUGGAGGACCGAACCCACUGUCGUUGAAAAGCCAGGGGAUGACUUGUGGAUAGGGGUGAAAGGCUAAUCAAGCCUGGUGAUAGCUGGUUCUCCCCGAAAGCUAUUUAGGUAGCGCCUCGGACGAAUACCAUAGGGGGUAGAGCACUGUUUCGGCUAGGGGGUCAUCCCGACUUACCAAACCGAUGCAAACUCCGAAUACCUAUGAGUACUAUCCGGGAGACAGACUGCGGGUGCUAACGUCCGUAGUCAAGAGGAAAACAAUCCAGACCGCCAGCUAAGGCCCCAAAAUCAUAGUUAAGUGGGAAACGAUGUGGGAAGGCAUAGACAGCUAGGAGGUUGGCUUAGAAGCAGCCACCCUUUAAAGAAAGCGUAAUAGCUCACUAGUCGAGUCGGCCUGCGCGGAAGAUGUAACGGGGCUAAAACUAUGUGCCGAAGCUGCGGAUGUAUACUUUGUAUACGUGGUAGGGGAGCGUUCUGUAAGCCGAUGAAGGUGUGUUGAGAAGCAUGCUGGAGGUAUCAGAAGUGCGAAUGCUGACGUGAGUAACGACAAAACGGGUGAAAAACCCGUUCGCCGAAAGACCAAGGGUUCCAGUCCAACGUUAAUCGGGGCUGGGUGAGUCGACCCCUAAGGCGAGGCCGAAAGGCGUAGUCGAUGGGAAAAUGGUUAAUAUUCCAUUACUUCUGUGUAAUGCGAUGAGAGGACGGAGAAGGCUAAAUCAGCCUGGCGUUGGUUGUCCAGGUGAAAGGAUGUAGGCAUGUAUCUUAGGCAAAUCCGGGGUACUCUAUGCUGAGAUCUGAUAGCAAGCUGUACUUGUACAGCGAAGUGGUUGAUGCCAUGCUUCCAGGAAAAGUCUCUAAGCUUCAGUUACACAGGAAUCGUACCCGAAACCGACACAGGUGGUCAGGUCGAGUAGACCAAGGCGCUUGAGAGAACUCUGCUGAAGGAACUAGGCAAAAUGGUACCGUAACUUCGGGAGAAGGUACGCUGUUGUUGGUGAUGGAACUCGCUUCCUGAGCUGACGACAGCCGCAGAAACCAGGCCGCUGCAACUGUUUAUUAAAAACAUAGCACUCUGCAAACACGAAAGUGGACGUAUAGGGUGUGAUGCCUGCCCGGUGCUGGAAGGUUAAUUGAUGGGGUUAGCGUAAGCGAAGCUCUUGAUCGAAGCCCCAGUAAACGGCGGCCGUAACUAUAACGGUCCUAAGGUAGCGAAAUUCCUUGUCGGGUAAGUUCCGACCUGCACGAAUGGCAUAAUGAUGGCGGCGCUGUCUCCAGCAGAGGCUCAGUGAAAUCGAAAUCGCUGUGAAGAUGCAGUGUACCCGCGGCUAGACGGAAAGACCCCGUGAACCUUUACUGCAGCUUGACACUGAACUUUGACCUUACUUGUGUAGGAUAGGUGGGAGGCUUUGAAGCUGGAACGCUAGUUCCAGUGGAGCCGUCCUUGAAAUACCACCCUGGUAAUGUUGAGGUUCUAACUCUGUCCCGUGAUCCGGGACGAGGACCGUGUCUGGUGGGUAGUUUGACUGGGGCGGUCUCCUCCUAAAGAGUAACGGAGGAGUACGAAGGUGCGCUCAGCGUGGUCGGAAAUCACGCGUAGAGUAUAAAGGCAAAAGCGCGCUUAACUGCGAGACCCACAAGUCGAGCAGGUACGAAAGUAGGUCUUAGUGAUCCGGUGGUUCUGUAUGGAAGGGCCAUCGCUCAACGGAUAAAAGGUACUCUGGGGAUAACAGGCUGAUACCGCCCAAGAGUUCAUAUCGACGGCGGUGUUUGGCACCUCGAUGUCGGCUCAUCUCAUCCUGGGGCUGAAGCAGGUCCCAAGGGUAUGGCUGUUCGCCAUUUAAAGAGGUACGCGAGCUGGGUUUAGAACGUCGUGAGACAGUUCGGUCCCUAUCUACCGUGGGCGCUGGAAAUUUGAGAGGAUCUGCUCCUAGUACGAGAGGACCAGAGUGGACGAACCUCUGGUGUACCGGUUGUGACGCCAGUCGCAUCGCCGGGUAGCUAUGUUCGGAAGGGAUAACCGCUGAAAGCAUCUAAGCGGGAAGCCUACCUCAAGAUAAGAUUUCCCUAGGACUUUAUGUCCUCUAAAGAGCCGUUCGAGACUAGGACGUUGAUAGGUUGGAUGUGGAAGCAUAGUGAUAUGUGAAGCUGACCAAUACUAAUUGCUCGUGAGGCUUGACUAU